rnacentral:Y_RNA from 1 species
GGCUAGUCUGAGAGCCAUGAUGUUUCAACUAUUUGAUCACAACCAGUUACAGACUUCUUCGUUCCUCCACUUCUUCACCUGACUAACCUUUU